rnacentral:rRNA from 1 species
CACGAACGCUGGCGGCGUGCCUAAUACAUGCAAGUCGAGCGGAAGUUGGAGAGCUUGCUCUUCAACUUUAGCGGCGGACGGGUGAGUAACACGUGGGCAACCUGCCCUGCAGAUCGGGAUAACUCCGGGAAACCGGUGCUAAUACCGAAUAGUUUUCGCCACCUCCUGGUGGCGUACGGAAAGACGGUUUCGGCUGUCACUGCAGGAUGGGCCCGCGGCGCAUUAGCUAGUUGGUGGGGUAACGGCCCACCAAGGCGACGAUGCGUAGCCGACCUGAGAGGGUGAUCGGCCACACUGGGACUGAGACACGGCCCAGACUCCUACGGGAGGCAGCAGUAGGGAAUCUUCCGCAAUGGACGAAAGUCUGACGGAGCAACGCCGCGUGAGUGACGAAGGUUUUCGGAUCGUAAAACUCUGUUGUGAGGGAAGAACAAGUACCACUUAACUACUGGUACCUUGACGGUACCUCACCAGAAAGCCACGGCUAACUACGUGCCAGCAGCCGCUGUAAAAC